rnacentral:rRNA from 1 species
UAAGCAAGUAGUGAAAGCCUGGGGCUCAACCCCUUACACAUUACUUGAACUGCUCAGCUUGAGGACGAGAGAGGUUAUUGGAAUUCCUAGUGUAGGAGUGAAAUCCGUAGAUAUUAGGAGGAACACCGAUGGCGUAGGCAGAUAACUGGCUCGUUCCUGACACUAAGGCACGAAAGCGUGGGUAGCAAACGGGAUUAGAUACCCCGGUAGUCCACGCCGUAAACGAUGGAUGCUA